AUGGCGGCGGCGGCGAGCUUCGGGCUGAUGGACAAGGCCUACUUCGUGGGGCGGGGCGAGAUCCUCAGCUGGGUCAAUGCCACGCUGCAGCUCUCCCUCAACAAGGUCGAGGAGGCGGCGUCGGGGGCGGUGCAGUGCCAGCUGCUGGACAUGGUUCACCCUGGGUCGGUGCCGAUGCACAAGGUGAAUUUCGAUGCCAAGACGGAGUACGACAUGAUCCAGAACUACAAGAUUCUCCAGGAUGUCUUCAACAAGCUGCGGAUAGGCAAGAAUAUUGAGGUCAACAAACUUGUUAAAGGGCGGCCAUUGGACAACUUGGAGUUUCUGCAAUGGCUGAAAAGAUAUUGUGAUUCUGUAAAUGGUGGAAUCAUGAAUGAAAACUACAAUCCUGUAGAAAGGAGGUCCAAGGGUUGCAAAGAGCGCACCCACAAGGGUCCCAACAAGUCAUCCAAAUCACUUCAAGCCAACAGAUUAUCUAGUGCUAACUCAGCAGAUGGAGGUGCCCUGAAUUCUAAUACUGAUCUUGCUUCUCCAGUUGGAAAAGUCUGUAAUGCUGUUAAUGAAGAGCAUUACAUGGAGCAGAUUCAACAAUUAUCUGAGAAGAUUGCAGAUCUGAAGGUUGCUGUGGACAACACUGAGAAAGAAAGAGAUUUCUACUUCUCAAAGCUGCGUGACAUCGAGAUAUUAUGUCAAAGACCUGAGUUGGAGCAUCUACCGAUGACCAAAGGGAUAAGGAAGAUACUCUAUGCGGCUGAUGCGAAGGAUUCAUCAUUACCUGAGGCUAAUGAAAUAAUCACCAGGUCACCAGGCAUGUUCUCAGAUGAAGCAGAGUGA
rnacentral:rRNA from 1 species